AUCUAAUCUGUUCAUUUUCGAACCACCCAACUAACGGUCUUACACAAUGAACACUCUCCUCCUCCCACCACCCUUAUCCACCACCAACCAUCAUCACCGCCACCGCCACCGUCACCACCCACCACCACCACCACCACCUUUCUCCUCCUCCACCGUCUCCUUAACCCACUCACCACCCCGUUCAUCCUCCUCCUCCUCCUUAUCCGAAACCGACACAAUUACCCAAUCCGACGUCGUUUCCCUCUUCCCCCACCACCGCUACGACUUCUCCCCUCUCCUCACCUUUCUCUCCACCUACACCUCCCACUCCGAUUCCAACUCACUGAGUCACUCCGAGUUACGCCUCGCUGACUCAUACCGAGCCGUCCCAGCUCCCUUAUGGCACUCACUUCUCAAAUCCCUAACAUCUUCUCCAUCAUCUUCUUUCCAACUCGCCUACGCGCUUGUCACGUGGCUCCAGAAGCACAACCUCUGUUUCCAUUACGAAUUACUCUACUCCAUUUUAAUCCACGCGCUCGGACGCGCUGAGAAGCUCUACGAAGCUUUCUUAUUGUCUCAAACACAAACCCUAACUCCGUUAACGUACAACGCGCUUAUCGGCGCGUGUGCGCGUAACAAUGAGUUGGAGAAAGCUAUUAACUUGAUGAACAAGAUGAGACGAGAAGGUUACCAGUCUGAUUUUGUUAAUUAUAGUUUGAUUAUUCAGACAUUAGUUCGUAGCAAUAAGAUCGAUUCGGGUUUGUUAGAGAAGUUGUAUGACGAAAUGGUGUCGGAUUCUAUCGAGUUAGAUGGUCAGUUGUUGAAUGAUAUCGUGUUAGGGUUUGCGAAAGCGGGUGAUGUGGAUAGAGCUAUGCACUUUUUGGGGGUGAUUCAGGGGAAAGGGAUGAAUCCGAAGACGUCGACGGUUGUGUCGUUGAUUCUGCGGUUGGGGGUGGUGGGGCGGGUUGAAGAAGCGGAAGCGGUUUUUGAAGAGAUUAAAGAAGACGGGGUUGUGCCGAGGACUAGAGCGUAUAACGCGGUGUUACGAGGGUAUGUGAAAAACGGGAGUUUGAAGGAUGCGGAGGCGAUAGUGACGGAGAUGGAGAAGAAUGGUGUUUUGCCGGAUGAGCAUACGUAUAGUCUUUUGAUUGACGCGUAUGGGAAUGCUGGGAGGUGGGAGAGUGCGAGGAUUGUGUUGAAAGAGAUGGAAGCGAAAGACGUGAAGCCGAAUUCGUUUGUUUUUAGUCGGAUUUUGGCUUGUUACAGGGACCGAGGCGAGUGGCAAAAGGCUUUUAAAGUGUUGAAAGAGAUGCAAAAAUGUGGGGUGAAACCGGAUAGACAGUUUUAUAACGUUAUGAUUGAUACGUUCGGGAAGUAUAAUAUUCUCGAUCAUGUAACGGCGACGUUUGAGAGGAUGAUAAACGAUGGAAUUGAGCCGGAUACUGUUACUUGGAACACGCUUAUAGAUUGUUAUUGUAAGUCAGGGGAUCAUAAAAAAGCACAGACGCUGUUUGAUGAAAUGCACGAAAGAGGGUGCGUACCUUGUACAACUACUUACAAUAUAAUGCUCAAUUCAUUCGGGGUGCAGGAAAAGUGGGAUGAAGUAAAAAACGUAUUGGGCAAGAUGCAAAGUGAAGGUUUGUUGCCUAAUGUUGUUACGUAUACUACAUUAAUCGAUGUUUAUGGGAAGUCGGGAAGGUAUAAUGACGCAAUCGAGUGUUUGGAAGUGAUGAAGUCUGCUGGUUUGAAGCCGUCAUCGACCAUGUAUAACGCCUUGAUUAAUGCCUAUGCACAAAGGGGUCUAUCGAAUCAAGCGGCUAAUACGUUUAAGAUGAUGAGCAGUGAUGGUCUGAAACCAAGUCAAUUAGCUCUCAAUGCGUUAGUUAAUGCGUUUGGUGAGGAUAGAAGAGACGUUGAAGCCUUUGCAGUUUUACAGUAUAUGAAGGAAAACGGCUUGAAACCAGAUGUAGUUACAUACACUACUCUUAUGAAAGCUUUAAUUCGUGUGGAAAAAUUUAGUGAGGUUCCGUGUGUUUAUGAGGAAAUGGUAAAAUCUGGGUGCACUCCAGACACUAAAGCCAGGGCUACAUUAAGGUCUGCUUUGAGAUAUAUGAGACGGACAUUAGAAUCGUAAUUAUUAUUAUUGUUAUUAAACUACUCAAAAGCAAUUGGUUAUGGAUGAUUGUUACCCACUACCAGUCGUAGGCUUAACAACGAGUAGCAAAACUCAACAAACACACAUGAGGUGUAAUGGAUAUUCAAAGCAAGCUAGUGAUUCGACGAAAGAUACAAAUGAUCAACAACAUAUAUUGAAGAUUGUUGCUCAGACAUACCAGAAUGCAUACCAAGUUUGACUUUUUUCAUAUAUUUUUUGCACAUAUUUUUCUUUGUCGUGUAAUCAUGCAAAUUCACCAUGGACUUGAAACUUGUAGUUACCAUGUUGCUUAUUUUCAUAUAUAUUUUGCACAAAUCUUGUUUUUUUUUCGUGUAA